rnacentral:rRNA from 1 species
GAUGAACGCUGGCGGCGUGCCUAAUACAUGCAAGUCGAACGAACGGACGAUAAGCUUGCUUCUCUGAUGUUAGCGGCGGACGGGUGAGUAACACGUGGAUAACCUACCUAUAAGACUGGGAUAAUUUCGGGAAACCGGAGCUAAUACCGGAUGAUAUUUUGAACCGCAUGGUUCAAAAGUGAAAGUCGGUCUUGCUGUCUCUUAUCGCUGGAUCCGCGCUGCAUUAGCUAGUUGUUAAGUUAACGGCUUACCAAGGCAACGAUGCAUAGCCGACCUGAGAGGGUGAUCGGCGACAUGGGAACUGAGACACGGUCCAGACUCCUACGGGAGGCAGCAGUAGGGAAUCUUCCGCAAUGGGCGAAAGCCUGACGGAGCAACGCCGCGUGAGUGAUGAAGGUCUUCGGAUCGUAAAACUCUGUUAUUAGGGAAGAACAUAUGUGUAAGUAACUGUGCACAUCUUGACGGUACCUAAUCAGAAAGCCACGGCUAACUACGUG